CGUGUAGGCGGCCUCGUUAGUCCGCUGUGAAAGUCCAGGGCUCAACCCUGGAAUGCCGGUGGAUACUGCGAGGCUAGAGUCCGGAAGGGGCGAGUGGAAUUCCUGGUGUAGCGGUGAAAUGCGCAGAUAUCAGGAGGAACACCAAUGGCGAAGGCAGCUCGCUGGGACGUGACUGACGCUGAGACGCGAAAGCGUGGGGAGCAAACAGGAUUAGAUACCCUGGUAGUCCACGCUGUAAACGAUGGCAACUAGAUGGUGGGGGGUGUCGGACUCCCCCCGUGUCGAAGCUACGCAUUAGUUGCCCGCCUGGGGAGUACGGCCGCAAGGCUAA
rnacentral:rRNA from 1 species